GACGAACGCUGGCGGCGUGCCUAAUACAUGCAAGUCGAACGAGAGCGACCGGUGCUUGCACUGGUCAAUCUAGUGGCGAACGGGUGAGUAACACGUGGGUAACCUGCCCAUCAGAGGGGGAUAACAUCCGGAAACGGAUGCUAAAACCGCAUAGGUCUUCGAGCCGCAUGGCUUGAAGAGGAAAAGAGGCGCAAGCUUCUGCUGAUGGAUGGACCCGCGGUGCAUUAGCUAGUUGGUGAGGUAACGGCUCACCAAGGCCGUGAUGCAUAGCCGAUCUGAGAGGGUGAUCGGCCACAUUGGGACUGAGACACGGCCCAAACUCCUACGGGAGGCAGCAGUAGGGAAUCUUCCGCAAUGGACGCAAGUCUGACGGAGCAACGCCGCGUGAGUGAAGAAGGUUUUCGGAUCGUAAAACUCUGUUGUUAGAGAAGAACAAGUGCUAGAGUAACUGUUAGCGCCUUGACGGUAUCUAACCAGAAAGCCACGGCUAACUACGUG
rnacentral:rRNA from 1 species